GGCUGGUUCAAGUGCGGUGAUGUUUACAACUAAUUGAUGACAACCAGUACAGAUUUCUUUGUUCCUUCUCUGCUCCCACUGCUUCGUUUGACUAGUGUUUA
ensembl:Y_RNA Y_RNA Y RNA